GACGAACCGUGCGAACGUUAUUCGGAAUCACUGGGCUUAAAGCGCGUGUAGGCGGGGCGGCACGUCGGUCGGUGAAAGCCCCCGGCUCAACCGGGGAACGGGCGCCGAUACGACCGCCCUGGAGGGACGUAGGGGGACCUGGAACUUCCGGUGGAGCGGUGAAAUGCGUUGAGAUCGGAAGGAACGCCCGUGGCGAAAGCGAGGUCCUGGACGUCUGCUGACGCUGAGACGCGAAAGCCAGGGGAGCGAACGGG
rnacentral:rRNA from 1 species